UGGCAGGUCAGCAUACUGCCGUGAAUACGUUCCCGGGCCUUGUACACACCGCCCGUCACACCAUGAGAGUUGGGGAUACCCGAAGCCUGUGAGCUAACUAGUUUAUAGGAGCAGCAGUCGAAGGUAGAAUCAAUGAUUGGGGUGAAGUCGUAACAAGGUACC
rnacentral:rRNA from 1 species